UACGAAGGGGGCUAGCGUUGCUCGGAAUUACUGGGCGUAAAGGGCGCGUAGGCGGCACUGUUAGUCAGGCGUGAAAGUCCUGGGCUCAACCUGGGAACUGCGCUUGAUACGGCAGAACUAGAGGAUGGAAGAGGGUCGCGGAAUUCCCAGUGUAGAGGUGAAAUUCGUAGAUAUUGGGAAGGAACACCGGUGGCGAAGGCGGCGACCUGGUCCAUUACUGACGCUGAGGCGCGACAGCGUGGGGAGCAAACAGG
rnacentral:rRNA from 1 species